rnacentral:rRNA from 1 species
GAAAUGCGAUACGUAAUGUGAAUUGCAGAAUUCAGUGAAUCAUCGAAUCUUUGAACGCACCUUGCGCCCCUUGGUAUUCCGAGGGGCACACCCGUUUGAGUGUCGUGAAAUUCUCAAAAACCUGUUCUUUAACAAGAAAAGGAUUUUUGGACUUGGAGGUUUAAUGCUGGCCUUUGUCUUGAAAGCAAGCUCCUCUGAAAUAGAUUAGUAGGAUCUGCUUUGCUGAUUCUUAAUGUGAUAAGAUGUUUCUACAUUUUGGAUUUAGCACUGUCUUUUGGAUGCCUGCUUCUAACUGUCUUAUGGACAAUGAUGGUGUCUCCGGUCACUGCUAUUUAUAUUGGCAGGAGGCUAGACCCACAUAAAAGAAAAAACCUUGACCUCAAAUCGGGUGAGACUACCUGCUGUAGAACUUAA